rnacentral:rRNA from 1 species
CCUACGGGAGGCAGCAGUGGGGAAUAUUGCACAAUGGGGGAAACCCUGAUGCAGCGACGCCGCGUGAGUGAAGAAGUAUUUCGGUAUGUAAAGCUCUAUCAGCAGGAACGAGACAAGACGGUACCUGACUAAGAAGCCCCGGCUAACUACGUGCCAGCAGCCGCGGCAAUCCGUAGGGGGCAAGCGUUAUCCGGAAUCACUGGGUGUAAAGGGAGCGUAGACGGCUGUGCAAGUCUGAAGGGAAAGGGGGGCGCCCAACCCCUGGACUGCUUUGGAAACUGUACGGCUGGAGUGCAGGAGAGGUAAGUGGAAUUCCUAGUGUAGCGGUGAAAUGCGUAGAUAUUAGGAGGAACACCAGUGGCGAAGGCGGCUUACGGGACUGUAACUGACGUUGAGGCUCGAAAGCGUGGGGAGCAAACAGGAUUAGAUACCCUGGUAGUC